UACGAAGUGGGCUAGCGUUGCUCGGAAUCACUGGGCGUAAAGCGCACGUAGGCGGUUUGCUAAGUCAGGGGUGAAAUCCUGGAGCUCAACUCCAGAACUGCCUUUGAUACUGGCGACCUUGAGUCCGGGAGAGGUGAGUGGAACUGCGAGUGUAGAGGUGAAAUUCGUAGAUAUUCGCAAGAACACCAGUGGCGAAGGCGGCUCACUGGCCCGGUACUGACGCUGAGGUGCGAAAGCGUGGGGAGCAAACAGG
rnacentral:rRNA from 1 species